rnacentral:rRNA from 1 species
CCUACGGGGGGCAGCAGUGAGGAAUAUUGGUCAAUGGACGAGAGUCUGAACCAGCCAAGUAGCGUGAAGGAUGACUGCCCUAUGGGUUGUAAACUUCUUUUAUAAAGGAAUAAAACGAGGCACGUGUGCCUUUUUGCAUGUACUUUAUGAAUAAGGAUCGGCUAACUCCGUGCCAGCAGCCGCGGUAAUACGGAGGAUCCGAGCGUUAUCCGGAUUUAUUGGGUUUAAAGGGAGCGUAGAUGGGUUGUUAAGUCAGUGGUGAAAUUUUGCGGCUCAACCGUAAAAUUGCAAUUGAUACUGGCAGUCUUGAGUACAGUUGAGGUAGGCGGAAUUCGGGGUGUAGCGGUGAAAUGCUUAGAUAUCACGAAGAACCCCGAUUGCGAAGGCAGCUUACUAAACUGUGACUGACAUUGAUGCUCGAAAGUGUGGGUAUCAAACAGGAUUAGAUACCCUGUAGUC